rnacentral:lncRNA from 1 species
GAGAGAACAGCAGAAGGAGAUCAGCUUGGAGUGUGGGUAUGCCUUUAAAUAAAUGCCCAUCAGAAGUCUGAAUGAAGUCCUGAGGGAAUCCAAGGUACCAACCCUCAGAUUGGUUCACCACAAACUGUAUGUAUGUAUUUUAAGAAUGCUUUGUUUGCUUGUUUGCUUGCUUUUAACAGGGUCUAUGUCUAUUUUAUAUUAACAGCACAUCAGCUGUGAUAUGAGCAACUUAAAACAUCUUUUCUGAUUCACUGUGAUAACUUUUUCCUCUGAGAUUUAAUAUUAUUAAAAUUUCAUAUUAUAGCAGGCUCUAUGAACUACCUUAUAAGUAAUUAUAUACUUUGUUCCUAUUUUCUUCCAUUUUUUUCUUGCCAGAUAAACUUCUGGCUUGUUUACAGCAUGCUAUUUCACCUAUUUUAUUUUAUAUAAGUUAUUUAUUUGUAUGUUUAUCAACAUCUUUGGUGAAUUUUGAUAGAGUUUUACUGAUACGUCCAAGACACACAAAGCAUUUAAUUUUUUAUGAUUAUCUCUAUGGCUAAAACAGUUUCUAUGCCUUGGAAUCAUAUCAACCAGGUCAUAUAUUAUAAUAAGCUUUCUUAUUUUUUCAAUUCUCUACACAUAAAUUCAUAGACAGAUAGAUGUGUAGCAAUUUCACACUGCCCAAAUUUUAAUCAGUCCAUUCCAAGGAUAGUGACAGGUGGAUGGUAAAGUUUAAUGGCAACCUUUAUUCCCCCAAUAAGAGGUAGAUGAAAUAGUGACAGGCCUUAAAGGUAAAAAACAUUGAUUUUUUUUUUUUCACUCAAUCAGAUGAACUUUCAUGCACAGAGCUUAAGAGUGUAUUCCUCAGGGAGACUUCCCUACAGACUGAUAAACUGGGUUACAAAAAAUCAUAAUAAUAAUCCCAUUUAAAACACUGUACACAUAUGCUUGCACACACACACACAUUUUUAAAAAUGUAUUUUGAUAUUGAUAUUUCAAGUUACAUGCAAGGACACUUUUUGAAUAUAGAAUCAUCUGCCUCAUUAUUUCUGUCCCACUUUGGAAAAUGGUUUGUUGUUACACAAACCUUUUCAGAUCACAGAUUCUUGACUCUGCACAAUGAAUCCAUAGCCAAAGCCUAGAAUUCUAACCCUGCCUUUCAUUCACUCUCUUGGUGCAGUGGAGGCCUGUACAGGCAAACCAAAAUCUAGGUCUAUAAACACUUCAAGGUAAUGAAAUUGAAACCUAGGGGUUACAGAUCAUAAAUAGCCAAUUUGACUUUAAGCUAUAGCCAAUUAAUAAUUUCCUUACUUCACACCUGCCUUUUUUCUAUAAAAGUCUCUUCCUAACUCCUGUCAGUGGAGCAUACUUAACCACUUGCCAUGUGGCAUUGCCUAAUUUAAAUCGAUUUUUGUUCAAAUAAACUCUUAAAAUUUUUAAUCUACCUCAGUUUAUCUUUUAAUGGUUCAUAUCCUGCUCAUUUGUCAGACUGCAUGACAUGUGAGUACAAGAGCCUGAGACAAAAUAGGCAUCUAGUAAAUGGCAAUUUCUGUAAUAUAACACACAUAUAACACACACACACACACAGGCACACACACACUUUAAAACACAAAAGUAACCAACAGGAAAAGGUGAGUCUGUACAGAAGAGCAAAUUGUAGUGUUGAUGUUUCAGAAUAAUCUCUUAAAAUGUUUAAACUUCAAAUAUGCUAUCCAUAGCCUGUAAGACUCACCUCUAACAAAAUAUAGUUAUUGUGCACUGUAAUUUAGUAUCCAUUCUCUGCUUCUAAAGUAAAUUCUUACUAACUUCAAUUUUAACUUUGAAAUCAUCUUAUUUAAACUGUAAUCAAGGAAGCUGACUCCUCCUUGAUCUCUUCUGAUAUUGUCGGGUUCCCCUGCUCUGCACUAUCUCUCCCUCAGUCCUUCCCUACACAGAACAAGGAUUUGGAGAUGCAGGCUGAGAAGCACUGUGGUGGCACUGGCAUAGAGCCCCCAUGGUCUUCCUGCACAGGGAUGAAGGCAGGCCUUCUCCCCAGGCGCAGCAGUGAAAGGUUGAAGGGAGUUUCCCCUUGAACCGACACUGCAGUGUGACAGCUCCAACCUGGGCUCUUUAAUGAGCUGUUCCUGUCUGUCGUUCAAAGCGAGAACCACAAUCAAGAGUCAGGUAGCAGUGUACAGCAAGUUUUAUUUACGCCCUCAGAGAGAGCAGGCCACCCUGGGGUAGAGACUGGCUCUGGCUUCAACUGGGUCUCUCCUUAUAUUCCUAUAUCUCGGAUCUUGGACCUGUGUGGUGACCACUAUUCUUCUUGUCCCAACCCCCUUCUCCUGUGUUGUUUUGAUCUCUGUAUUGGGGGGGGGGGGGCUUUUUGAUCCUCUGAUUGGUUCUGGGCAAGGAUGACUUUAUUUGCAUGGGAAAAAAAAAAGUUAUAGGGAGGUGCUCCAAAGAGCUUUUCUCUGCUACCUGUAUGUGUCUUCAUUGUUUGAUCACAGGCCUCCUGCUUUUUGGUAAUAAAUAAAUGGCUUGUUUUGAAUCAGCCAGGUCUGAAUCCCUUUCCUAUCCUACCUAACAAUAUUACCAGGAAGGAUGUCAGUGUCAGUUUUGAUGGUAGAUCAAGACUGUCUUACAUCAGAGUGUAACAGUCCUUAUUUUAUUUAAUUCACUCUGAUUCUCAGGCUCUAGUUUGUGGUUCUGUUGGAUGAAAAUCAAUGCUGUCAGCACAUCGAGACAGCAUGGGUGUAUUUGAUUGUUUUCCUGCAGUAUGCUAACAACAGAUUAUGAAAUAUUUAAAUUAUAAUGUCAACACUCAGUGCUGGAUGUAUGGAAGUAUAUUUAUCAACUGCACUGCUCUCUUUGUUUCCGUGAUCAAUAUUAUUUCAUAGGAAAACUAUCAUGCAUUUAAUAUGUUUUUCCCAUAUUGUAUGGUUUAAAAUUAUUAAGAAAAAAAUUCUGGAGUUCUCGUUGUGGCUCAGCAGGUUAAGAAUCAGACAUAGUCUCUGUGAGGAUGCAGGUUUGACCCUUGGCCUCAUUCAGUGGGUUAGGAAUCCAGCAUUGCUGCACUCUGUUGUAGGUCAAGGAUGCAGCUUGGAUCCAGUGUUGCUGUGGCUGUGGAGUAGGCCAGCAGCUGCAGCUCUAAUUUGACCGGGAGCCCAGGAACUUCCAUAUGCCACAGGUGCAGCCAUUAAAAAAAAUGAAACAGGAGUUCCUAUCAUGGCGCAGUGGUUAACUAAUCUGACUAGGAACCAUGAGGUUGUGGGUUCAAUCCAUGGCCUCACUCAGUGGGUUAAGGAUCUGGCGUUGCCAUGAGCUGUGAUGUAGGUCACAGACACGGCUUGGAUCCCCUGUUGCUGUGGCUAUGGAGUAGGCUGGUGGCUACAGCUCCAAUUAGACCCCUAGCCUGGGAACCUCCAUAUGCCGUGGCUGUGGACCCAGAAAAGACAAAAACAAACAA